rnacentral:rRNA from 1 species
GAUCAUGGCUCAGGACGAACGCUGGCGGCGCGCCUAACACAUGCAAGUCGAACGGAGCUUGAAGAGCUUGCUUUUUAAGCUUAGUGGCGAACGGGUGAGUAACGCGUGAGUAACCUGCCCUGGAGCGGGGGACAACAGUUGGAAACGACUGCUAAUACCGCAUAAGCCCACGGAUUCGCAUGGAUCUGCGGGAAAAGGAUUUAUUCGCUUCAGGAUGGACUCGCGUCCAAUUAGCUAGUUGGUG